AUUGAACGCUGGCGGCAUGCUUUACACAUGCAAGUCGGACGGUAACAGCACUUCGGUGGCUGACGAGUGGCGAACGGGUGAGUAAUACAUCGGAACGUGCCUAGUAGUGGGGGAUAACUACUCGAAAGAGUAGCUAAUACCGCAUGAGAUCUAAGGAUGAAAGCAGGGGACCUUCGGGCCUUGCGCUACUAGAGCGGCUGAUGGCAGAUUAGGUAGUUGGUGGGAUAAAAGCUUACCAAGCCGACGAUCUGUAGCUGGUCUGAGAGGACGACCAGCCACACUGGGACUGAGACACGGCCCAGACUCCUACGGGAGGCAGCAGUGGGGAAUUUUGGACAAUGGGCGCAAGCCUGAUCCAGCAAUGCCGCGUGCAGGAUGAAGGCCUUCGGGUUGUAAACUGCUUUUGUACGGAACGAAAAGCCCUCUUCUAAUACAGGAGGGUCAUGACGGUACCGUAAGAAUAAGCACCGGCUAACUACGUG
rnacentral:rRNA from 1 species